GGGGGCGUAGUAUAACCUGGCUAUUACUACCGGCUCCAGACCGGUGGAUUGGGGUUCAAAUCCCCACGUCCCCA
rnacentral:tRNA from 1 species